rnacentral:lncRNA from 1 species
GUUGCCACACACUCCACCACUUCCAACGCACGCGUCACAUUCCGGAGAGUUUACGGUCCAUCUCAACUCAAAACCUUUUUUUAAUGCUUCUUCUAAUCCACUACCAGAUGCAAUUUGUGAAGUAAAGGUAUCCAAAAUGGGAAUGACGACAAUAACACUUGGACUACAUAUGGUGGAAUACAAAGUAGGAUCAACAACGGUGUAGACAACAAAUUUAGUAUUUUGGCAGUCAACACUAUGAAACAUAUUCGAUGGGUCUCCAUUUGCAACACAGUUAUAUAACAGAGUCACGUUUGAAACACCGCUAAAUCGUUGAAACUGACCAGUGUUAUCGAAUGUGCUGUUACUGUAAUUGUUAUUAACAGCACAAACAUCGCCACUCGAGUAAUCUUCUCUAGCUACAGUCAGUUUCUUUGUUGUAUUUUCCCAAUCAAGAAUACGGUAUUUCACGUUUUUAAUUGUUAUCUUCGGCACUUUUCCUUCGCAAGUGACCUCUGUAUUAGAAUCACCACCGCAAUAUUUCGCUCUGUUUUCUCCCCAGAACGGAUACUUGAGGUUUGGGACACUGCUUUCGCAGUCAAAAGCGGUGUUACAGUUUGUGUAUAGGGGAUCAUCUUUGCAAAUACAUGUUGGAAUAUUCAUGAUUGAGAUCAUCAAAAGUGCUACGGAAUAAUAAAAGAAAAUAAUAUUGGAAGAAGAUUGAUGAUGAAACAGAGGCUUCAUUCUUGCGCUAGAAUUAGAACAACGGAGUUAUUACUCGAAAGAGUCUUAAUAGGAUUGGUUUAAGUGAGAUAAAAAAUACUCCAAAACAAAAUCUUAAAUAUUAGUCACAAAGUUAACGAGUUAUUUAAUGCUAUUAUUUUUAAUAUAUUCUUUAUUUAAUUCAAAAUUUUAAUAUUUAUAUUAGAAUAUUUAACAUUAAAAAUAAAUAAUUUAGUAAGUUUAAUUUAUAUUUUACAGGAAAUUUUAAAAAAUAGUUAUAUUUAACUAUAUUUUUAAAUGCUAAACAAAAUUAUUUUUUUCUUUAUAUUGAUUAAGUCAGCUUAGACCUAGUAAUAACAAUGGGAGUUGAUUCAACUCCCCCUUUCACUUUCAUGUCUAAACGCGCUUGAUAAUUUCCACACUUUGGAUGUUUCUAGGAAACUACAAUGUUGAAUUUUAAUAAUGAACUGUGUUUUAGUCCUACUGUUUGUGCUACUACUACUAGUCAAAGAGUGAUAAUAAUGAGUUUAUUUUUUGUAUGGAUUUUAUACAAAUUACUCUUAGAAGCAGUGACAAAACCAUGUCUUGAAUCAAUUGAGUCCAUAAGAUUUUCAAAAUCGUUUGUAACAUUUGUGUUUGAGAUAUACUCGUCGUCCUAAAUUAUAUGUUAUAUGGAUAAUACAGAGUUACUUUGCAAAAGUAUUGGUAUAAGAAAAUAAAUUAAAAAAAUAGAAAAAGAUAGAAUGAUAAAUAGUAAAUGAUAUAAUAGGAAAAGAAAUUUUAAUAAUUUAUUGAUAUUAUAAAAUGACAUAUAAUUUAAGACGUAUUUUGUUAAAAUGAAUAUAGACAUGGAGCGAGCAGGUUUUGUCUCUCCACCUCUUCAUCCGACUAAUCGAGAAAAAUUUGAUAAUGCUUUAUUUUUAUCGGAUGUGAAAGUUAAGUCUCCAUCAUCAUUUAUGACGGAGUUUGAAUUUCUUCUUUGCACUCGUAUCCAUUCAUAUAUAUAAAAUAAUAAAUUUAAAAGUUGUAUUUAUCAUAAUUAAUUUAGUAAAAUUAUUAUUAUUAUUAUUAUUAUUAUUAUUAUUAUUAUAUAAUAAAAUAAAUUAAAAAUAAUUUUUUAUAGAGAGAAGAUUAUAAUUUUUAAUAUUAAAAAUUAUAAUAAUGUUACUAGUGGGAGAGAGUGUGUAGUGGAUAUCGACACAUCUAAAUUUAUUCUCGCCUCCGAAUUUUAAUUUCGAAGAAAAUAUGCACUCACAUUUAUAUUCAAUCCAAGCAGAUUUUCUCUAUUUUAAUCAAAACGAAUUCGUGAGUAUCCAUAUAUGCGAGUUAUAUUAUUAUCCCUACCGACAUAUAAUAUGUGAUGAAGGAAAUAGUAUUAUUUUUUUUUUUUUGACAUGUUUGAGAUAUAGUUAGUGUCACACUCAUCGUACUCUAUAUGUCCUAUAAUAUAAGUACAAAUUUGUCAAAACUAAUAUAUUUAAUUAAAAUUUUAAGCCAAAUAAAUUAAUUUUAUUGAUUUUUUCUUAUAUUUUCUUACUGUAUAUAUUUAGUUGGUGAAAUAAAUGUCAUAUUUACUGGGUAAUGUCGACCAAAGUCAUCAAUGAUUUGAAAAUAAUAGACCGUUUUAAUAUCUAUAUCAUUAAAAACAAUUUUAAUCGGACAUUUAGCUUUUUAUAAAAUUACCUUUGGCGAUCUAUUUUUUUAAAAUUUAAAUUUAAAUUUAAAUAAAAACAUAAUUAUAUGAAACUCAUUAAUAACACAAUUGUUUUUCAAAAUUCAAAUUUUAAAACAUAAAACAAACAUAAAGAUCAUUUUAAUAAAUAUCUUAAAGGAAUCAAAGGUAGUAAUUUAUCUUUUAAAAAGAAAAAAAUUAAAUCUUUGAAAUUUUGAAUUCACAAUUUCUAAAACAUAAAUAUUUAAACCAUUAACAAUUGUCUUGAGCAUUUAUUAAUAUUUUCCAAAACAUAAUAUUGAUAUUAAAUUUUAAAUAACCGUAAGUAUUAUAAAAUUGAAAAAAUGAAUUAAAAUAAAAUGUAUGCGAUGAAAUACAAUAAUAUCAAAAGUCAAAUUAUGAUUUAUAUAUUUACACAAUAUAACUUGAUAAUAACACACACCAAGGUCUUCGUUUUAAAAAUGAUUUUACAUAUUAUUUUUAUCCACUCUAAAUAGUGUUAGUGUCAAAUUUUAAAAAUUAAAUUACUUAAUCAGUUAUACAUGUUCAGCUUAAUAAGCUUAUCAAGAACUCAAAAAUAGCUUUUGUCAAAAAAUAGAAGUUAGGAAAAUAAUUGAUUCAUAAGAUAGUCAAAGGUUUUUUCUUGACGGGAUAAUAGUCAAAAAAUUAUAUACUAUUCAAUAAAGAGAAAUAUCAACCCAUCAUAGUAUAAAUAAAUACUCAAUUUAUGGUAUGAUUCAGCGUGGAAAGAUUUGGGUUUUGUAGUAAACAAGAAAAGUCGCAAUUCUCUUGGCUAGUAUAACAUUUUGUCAUUUUCGUUAAAUAGCAAUUAUGACCUUGUCAACAGAAGCAAUAUUAAUAACUUACUUGCAUUUAAAAAUAAAGACUUAUAUAUUAGGCUUUUACUGCACUUGGAGGUGGAGUGUUAAAAAUCACGGGAUGAAAGAGUGGAAUUAAAUUUCAUUUUGAAAAUAUAUUUGAAAGAAUAAUACAAAAAGAAUAAUUUUCUAAAAUAUUUUAUAUUAAACGAUUACAAAAAAUACUAAAAUAAUGAACUCGACUCUAUUUAUAAAGUAUAUUAUCAAAUUAACAAACUAACCAACUAAAUUUAUCCAAUUAACUGACUUUCUAAAUCAUUGAAUAAAAUAUCUCUAAUCCUUUUAACAUCAAGGGGAUUCAUAUGUUAUGCAUUAUGAGCAAUGUUCAGUUCAUAUUAGGCUUUUGCUUCUACAUGAAAUUGUUGGUGUUGCUGCACCUUGUUAGUUAAGAUGUAAUCUUUUGUUUCUUCGGGCUAAGCCCUCUUUUUACAAAUCAUAAAAUAACAUAUAAAUUUUUUAAAAUUUUCAUUUUCAUUUUUCUAUUUUCAUUAAUUUAUAAAAAAAAUUAUUUUAAGAUUCGACAGUUUUAGUUAUUUCAUCAGAUUUUUUUAAUUAAAAAUUAUGAUUUUAUAUAUUUUAAAUUACGCGACAUAUUAUUAGAGUUGGCAAUGAGUACGAGUAGUACUUACCCGCUACUCUAUCUCUUGGAUAAAAAUAAUAGAUAUAUCCUAUGCAUAUUUGUGUGGAUAUCCGUUGAAUGGAUAUUUAAGAAUUUUUUUAAGAAUCUGCAAGUAUUAGCGGAUAUCUAUUAAUAUUAUAUUUUAAAUAAAAAUAAUAAUUUAUAUUUAAAAAUUAUUAUUUUUGUUGCAGUUUAUGUAGAUUUCUCCCCUAUUUUGUUAACAAAGAAAAUAUUAACGCAUACAAAUAUUAAUACAUUAACAUAGAUAAAAUAUGUUCCACUCAUCAUUAAAAAUAUUAAUACACUUUACCAAUUUUACUAAUUUAAUAUUGAUUACAAAUAUUUGCCGAUACAAAUAUCAUUACAUCUAACUAUGUAUCUAUUAACUAACAGAUAGUCAACAUAUUCGUUUAUUUCAUCCGUGGAUACCCAUUAAUCUACUCACUUGUGUUGGUAGUAGAUUUUAUUUGUGGAUAUCUGAAGUUACAAUUUUUUUUGUUAUCUUUAUAUAUUAUCUCAUGAUAUCGAACUAUCUAGAUGCAUUAAUUAUUUAUAUGUUAUUAACUAAAUUACAUAACCUGAAUAAUUUCAUAAGUUGAAAAUGAGAUCUUAAAUAACUUUCUUGCAAUUUCGAAGAUAUUAAUCAUUUAACAUUAUCCUAUCAUAGACAACAUUGUUUAAAAUAUAUCACAUCAUCAAUUUUUAGUAAAAAAUAUUUAAGAGAAAGACCAAAACUACUAGAUUUUAAAUUAGGAGGAUCAAUUUUAUAAAUUGAUGAAAGCAGAUGGAUCAAAACAACAAUUAAAAAAAAAAACUAUAUGCCCUCAUUUGAUUAUUGAAAUUGUUCUCAUAUGGACUUAAGUUUCACACAAGUUCAAUACUACCUACUUUGGACUAUAUAAAUUUCACAUUUCUUCCUAUUAAAGUAUGUCUCAUUUUAAAUCUCUCACUCGCCUCAAUUAUGUAUUGACUUAAGUGUUAGAGUGUUAGGAACUACACCUUAAAUGGUACCUUAAGUGUUAGAGUGCUAAUAAGUACACCUCCACCAUGUGAAGCUAUCUCCUAUGUGGAUUCCAGUCAAACGUCACCUUCGAAGAGCAUUUUCUUCCACCAAUCCUAAACCAUUGCGAGAUCAUUUACCCUCACUUAUAUGUUCCAAGCGGAUAAGAAAAUAUAAAUGUAUGAUGUUUCAAUCUGUUUUGCCUAUGUUUCAGUCUGUUUUGCCUGUUAUUAUAGAUGGGACAAAAUAAGUUUUGAAACACUACCAAUUUUAAAAAUGGCUCGUUGGGUUGAUUUUAAAAAUUUCUUUAAUUUUUCAAUUAUUAUUUUACUAAUUCAGUUACUUUUUCUAUUAUUAACAAUGAGAAAAUGAUAUGCACCAUCAAUUUAACUAAUUUUACAGUGACAUUUGAUAGAAAUAGAUAUAUAGUAGUUAUUUUUAAAAUGUGGUUACGGAAUAGACUUACUUGCUUUAGUUGAAUUGAUGACAAGAAUGAGUCAAAACAUAAUGAAGUUGUUCCGAUUUUCUGCCCCUAAUUCAAAGUAAUAUAUAAAUUAUUUUAUUGACUUAGAGAUAGAUACUUUAUAAGGAAAUAAUUUGUUGUAGUAUUAAAUUGAGAAACAUUAUUUAAUUUAAGAAAUUAGUUAAUUACUCAACCCUUAUGAUUUAAAACACCAAAAUAGUGGUACACGAUGGCAUAUUCAAUUUCCAUCUCCAUUAAGCCUUUUGUACUCCUCCUCAAACAUCAUAUUCCAUAUCUCUAGUCAGCAUCAUAACUUGCCAACAUUGUACUCAACAUAAAUUAUUCAAGAACUCGAUAAUUAAAUAUAUAAAAUUUAUGGUUGUAUGCGGUCGCAAUCUUUGAAACAUGGAUUUUGGUUUAAAAAUAAUCAAAAUUUGUAUUAAAAUGUGGACCGUUCAGUCACACGUCAAACAAUCGAAAUCAACUUACACAGUGCCUCUUAUAUAUAGAGUCUAAGCAUACCCUAGAGCAAAUGAAUUUCAAAAUCUUUGCACAAUUAGUUCAGUGACUUCAUUAUAGUUUAAUGUAUCAUUACUCUUUUUAAGUCGAUUAAAAAGAACACGGUAUUUCGUUACAAAUAAAACGAGGAAAUUAAAGAAUCACAUUAAAACUUUGCUAUAUAGGAAAACAUAAGCUUGUGUGUGGCAAAGUAGCUUAGAUCACGUGCACGGUGCGACAGGACAAAGCUAGAGGUUGAAUCAUAUAGGAAGAACAUAUAUGAGAAAAAACAAAUGGAAACUGCAAAUAGAGACAGUCUUGUAUUGUAAGGAAGGCAUCAUAGAUUUCUCACACACCCCGUCCCUCUUAAAUCCAAGUCACAUUCCAAAUCCAAUUCCAAUAAAAACUCGCGCCAUUAUUUUAUUUUAUGUUUUCUCUAACUAGUCUAUUUAUCAAUCACUUCAUUAGUCAGUGCACUUUCUUCUCUUCAAUAAACACAACAAAAAUUAUAACAUCUCAUCGUUGAAAUCUUUUUUAAAAAUUGUCAAUCAAUCUCUACUAUAAUAUUCUUUUAAAUAAGAUUCAUUUAAUCAAAUAAUAAUUUACACUUGAAAAAAAAUUCUAACAUUUAUUAUUGUAAAACUGAUUUAUUGGAUAGAAAUUGUGUGCUCUUUUAUUGUAAAACUAGUGUUGUAAAUAAACUGAUUUAUCUGAUAGAAACUGUGUGGUCUUUCAUUGUUAAAUUAUUUUACACUAAAAGUAUAUGAUUGCACUCUUAAAAGAAAUGAACCAUCAAAUGCACAAAAUUCAGCAAACCACGAAGUACAUUAAAGCGCUCCCAUUUACCUAUUCAGCAAAACACGAUGUACACAAACGCACGCUGCGCAUGUUAGCAGCUAAAACCGAACGUGAUUAUUGAUAUUUUUGUAUUCUAUUAUUUGACAAAUUUUAUUAAUAUUUUAUUACUAAUACUAUUUCUCCAAAAAUUCAAAAAAUAAAAUAAAAUUCGGAAUUGAACUCAUCCGUACAGUUAUGACAGUAGAGAAAGAGAGAAACCGCAACUGCUACUCAGGGAUGGUGAAAAGAACCGGUCGCCAUGCUCUUCUCAGUAACCUGUAUCGGAACGCCGACGAUAUCGGUCGGAGAGCCGAGACGGUGGAAGCUCGACGGAACGGAGAUCCAGUUCGGAAUCGAACGCCGACGGUGGAGCCAGAUAGGAGUCCAUCUUUCAGAUCGUGCUGCUGAUGUUGCUGUUGGAAGCUGUUCUUCUCAUCUUGGAGCGUCGGCGGCGGAGAUGGCGAGGAAACGAAGAGGUCUUUAAGCUUGUGGCGGACUUUGACUUCGUCGGAGGAAGAUUCCGGUGGAUCUAGGGGAGGGGGAUGGAAACGACGGCGGUCAUGAGGUCGAGUGAGGAACAUGCGGAGGGUUUUACGGCGGCGAAGGUGGAUGACGGGACUGGUGGUUGGACUGCGAGUGGGACUGCCGGCGACGGCACAUUGUGAGGCUAAGAGCUUGAAUUUGUGGAGAUUGGGCAUAGUGUGUGCAUUUAGAUUUAGAAAGAAAGAGAAUAAUAAUGAAUAAAUUUGGGUUAUUUUUUGUUUGUUUUAUUUGUGGGGGGAGAUGGUUAGAUCUGAGAAGGAUGGGAUGGCGUUGGAAUUAGAAAGUGAGAGGAGAAUGAUUGAUUGGGUUGAGUAAGGAAAUGGCAUUACAUUAUCGAGGGAAUAUUAAAACAUGUCUUUUUCUCUAGCCCUUAUUCCUAAUCCUAACUCUUACGCCUGUUUGGAGCACUAGAAACUAAGUGGAAAGAAAGUAAGGGAGAGGAAGCACGUUUUUCAAAUACCUGUCCACCGUUUGAAAAAGCAGAAAAUCGGAAAGGAUUGAAGCCUUGCUGCUAGGUUCCAAAAAGGAUCGGUUCCUCUCAAUUUUGAGCGCAGAAGUGCUAGUACUAAUAAAUUAUAAUUUUAUCCUCCUCUGAAAUAAUAUUAUUAUAUAAUAAAAAUAAAUAUUCAUCCUUUUAUUUUCAAAAUAUAAAAUAUUUUUAAAUAAAUAUAUAAAAUUAUAUAAGCUUUUGAUAGAAUAAUUUAUUUUAAGUUUAACACUAACGAAGGUAUAUUCAUAUUAUUUUUCUUUUCUAUCAAAGUUUAUUUUUAUUUUAGGAUAUUUAUGAUAUUAAACUAAUAUACCGUUAUUUUCUUUUAUCUUCUUUUAUUACUACAUAACUUUAAAUACGAUUUAUUUUCUUUUUUUUUAUUCUUUUUACUUUCUUUUUUUUUUCUUUUUCAAACUCAAACAAAAUAUUAAUUUUUCAAUAUAGUUUAAGAUGAGUCAUCAUGUACUACUAUGUAAUUUUUUUUUUUUUUUGAAUUCUCUAAAAAUAAUAAUUUAUAAUUAUAUUUAUCUUUAUAAAUAAAUUGGCAACUUGAUUGAUAUUAAUACAAACGAAAUAUAUAUUUAUUUAUUUUAUUUUAUUAAAUUAAUAUUAUUUAAGUCACUAUCUCAAUUAAGAAAAUAGAGAUAAUCAUUAGGAUAUACGUCAUUUUAAAUAUUUUUUAAAAUUGAUUUAUAUUACCAUUGUUUUAAAUAUAUGUAAAACCAGUGUCAAGUAUUUGGUUAAAAAUUUGAAUUGAAUAUAUCAAUUUUCUUUGACUUUUCUUUAACUUGAUUUUGUCAAAUAUUAAAAAAAAAUUGUUAAAUGCGAUGAAUUGUUUAAAUUUAUAUAAAACACAAUACAUAUUCUUCCCUUAUUUUUGGGUUGAUUAAAAUUUGACCCAAACAUUUGACUACUUUUCAUCAAAAUUAUUUUAGUUUGAGUAAAAAUUGACUCAACUAAUUCAUAAAGAAAAGUCUCAUAUUCAAACUUUAUUGAUUGAUCAUUGAUGGAAAAUAAAAAUGAUGUUAAUAAAAAAAAGUCAUCACUCAAAUUUCUUCAUAGAUACUAGUAUUAAUUAAUUAUUAAAGAAAUGUCGCCAGAUAUACUUCACAAUUUAUUUUUUUUUUAUAACCAAAUCACAAUUUAAAUAUGUGAAUUGAAAAUAGUACCUUUUUAUUUGUUAACUCCUACUUUUGACCUUUCAAAGUGGUUUAAAAAUGGAACCUCUGGAAGUAUUCACCAUCCAAGUAUAUUUUUUUUAUAAAAUCACACACACACACACACACAAAACUUAAAUACGAUUUUAAUUUUUAUUUAUUUUCUUUAAAAUGAUAUUUUAGUUGUCUAAUUUUUAGAAUCAAUUUUUAAGUCUCUUAUUAAUUAAUUAUUGAAAAAAAAUUUGUCUCUAUUUUUUUUAUAAUGUGACAGUUUCAUUAAUGAAAUAAUAUUUAGAUAAUAUUUUUGAGUUGGAUAAAAUAUUUUUUUAUAUUAUUAUUUUUUAAUUAAUUUAUUUAUAUAUUAAAAUAUUGAAAAAAAACUUUAUUUUAUUUUGCUUUUAUAUUAAAAUAUUUUAAAUUAAAAUUUAAAAUAUUUAAAAUAUUUUAAAUUAAAAUUUAAAAUAUUUAAAAUAUUUUAAAUUAAAAUUUAAAAUAUUUAAAAUAUUUUAAAUUAAAAUUUAAAAUAUUUAAAAUAUUUUAAAUUAAAAUUUAAAAUAUUUAAAAUAUUUUAAAUUAAAAUUUAAAAUAUUUAAAAUAUUUUAAAUUAAAAUUUAAAAUAUUUAAAAUAUUUUAAAUUAAAAUUUAAAAUAUUUAAAAUAUUUUAAAGAAUGUUUAAAAUUAAUUAAUUUUAUUUAAAUUUUUAAUAAUUUAAAGUUUAAAAUUUGGAAAAUGUUAUUUAUUUUAUUUAUACAUUGAAAUAUUAAAAAUAAAUUGAUGUUAUUUUAUUUAUAAAAUAAAAUAUUUAAAAUUAAAACUUAAAAUAUUUCAAAUUUAUUUUUUAUUCAACAGUAAUUCAAAAUUUUAAAUUUAAAAUAUUUAGUUAAAAGUAUUUAAAAUUUUAUUUAUAUUAUUUUAAAUAUUUUAAUAUAUAAAUAACAUAAAAAAUAAAAUUAAUUAAAAUAAUAAUGAAAUAAAAAAUAUUUUGUCUAACUAAUCAUGUCAUUAAAAAGAGUGUCAUGUCAUCAAAUAUGGUUGGUUGGAGAUAAAAAAAAACCCAAGAAUUAAUUAAUAUUUUAGUAAUGAAGGGAUUUAAAGUUUAUUUUCAACAAAAUAAAAAAAACAAAAGUGCAAUAUAAAAAAAUUAAUGUUCGAGAAAUAUGAAUCAGAGAAUGCAAAUUGCUUGUGGGAGAAUAAAGAUUUCUUGUUUGAAUUACAUAAUUUUGGCAUUAAAUUAAAGGAACCGCUAACACACACACACACACACAAAACUUAAAUACGAUUUUAAUUUUUAUUUAUUUUCUUUAAAAUGAUAUUUUAGUUGUCUAAUUUUUAGAAUCAAUUUUUAAGUCUCUUAUUAAUUAAUUAUUGAAAAAAAAUUUGUCUCUAUUGUUUUUAUAAUGUGACAGUUUCAUUAAUGAAAUAAUAUUUAGAUAAUAUUUUUGAGUUGGAUAAAAUAUUUUUUUAUAUUAUUAUUUUUUAAUUAAUUUAUUUAUAUAUUAAAAUAUUGAAAAAAAACUUUAUUUUAUUUUGCUUUUAUAUUAAAAUAUUUUAAAUUAAAAUUUAAAAUAUUUAAAAUAUUUUAAAUUAAAAUUUAAAAUAUUUAAAAUAUUUUAAAGAAUGUUUAAAAUUAAUUAAUUUUAUUUAAAUUUUUAAUAAUUUAAAGUUUAAAAUUUGGAAAAUGUUAUUUAUUUUAUUUAUACAUUGAAAUAUUAAAAAUAAAUUGAUGUUAUUUUAUUUAUAAAAUAAAAUAUUUAAAAUUAAAACUUAAAAUAUUUCAAAUUUAUUUUUUAUUCAACAGUAAUUCAAAAUUUUAAAUUUAAAAUAUUUAGUUAAAAGUAUUUAAAAUUUUAUUUAUAUUAUUUUAAAUAUUUUAAUAUAUAAAUAACAUAAAAAAUAAAAUUAAUUAAAAUAAUAAUGAAAUAAAAAAUAUUUUGUCUAACUAAUCAUGUCAUUAAAAAGAGUGUCAUGUCAUCAAAUAUGGUUGGUUGGAGAUAAAAAAAAACCCAAGAAUUAAUUAAUAUUUUAGUAAUGAAGGGAUUUAAAGUUUAUUUUCAACAAAAUAAAAAAAACAAAAGUGCAAUAUAAAAAAAUUAAUGUUCGAGAAAUAUGAAUCAGAGAAUGCAAAUUGCUUGUGGGAGAAUAAAGAUUUCUUGUUUGAAUUACAUAAUUUUGGCAUUAAAUUAAAGGAACCGCUAACAAAUAUUUUGAAAAACACUUGUUAAGCAUCUAAAAAUAAAAAUUUUAAAUAAAAAAAAGUAUUAAUAAUUUUCUAUUAAACUUUUGAAAAAUUAAAAUUUGUUAUUUUCAAUGCAAAAUUUUUACUUUUGUAUUCUUAUCAAAUGCGACCACGUAUUAGCAUGACCCUUAAAAUAAAUGGUUAAUUUAUAACAAAAGAAAAAAAAUAAUUAAAGGCUCCAUCCUUAUUUUGGUCUAUGUAAUAUAUUAGCUCUAAUCUAAAUUAGAUAAUGAUAUUAACACCUAUUUUCAACUAAUUAUGGAUUUGCAUCUUCUUGUAUGUUACAAUGUAAUAAAAACUCUCAAACACAAGUAUAAUUAAGUAUAUGGACUAUAACUAGGUAAUACGUUUUGAUCAGCAAGAGGCUCUGUGGUUUUUAGUAAUUAGUACAACUGUACAAGAUGAGCUGAAUAAAAUGGCCUAAAAAUAUUCACCGCUUGAUACAUGUGGAUAUGUAUAUCAAAUACACAGUAUCAUACAAAAUUCACCUGCUAAAGUAUACUAUCUGAAUCCUGACCAACAAUUUUGUCCAUGCACAUGUGUUGUUAUCUCGUUCUUCUUAGCAUCCUCCUCGUCUGUAAUAAGAUCAUGGAAAUUCAGCACUUGUCACACUCAUUUACCCAUUUUAAGUUAAUUAUUUUCCUAUCAUACCCUUCUUUUCAAUCCUUAAUUUACCUACAUAUACAUAACAAAAAGUUUUAAAGUAACAAGUACUUUUAUAUAUUUCAAAUACAUCAAACCAACUAACCAAGUAAGAAAUGAGAAUAUUUACAACAUAAAUUUAUAUUAUUUAUAUCUCAUAUAUUAGAAUCGUAUCAUACAGGCAAAAUUUAAUACUGUGAAAAACAGAUAAGUUUUUAGAGAAAAGAUAUUUGAAGGCCAAAAUGACUUGUAUACUAGCUCAUUGACAACAGUAGUUUUUAGUUUUACUAUCUAAAAAAAUCUAAGUCCUCACCAAAAGAAAAAGGAAAUCUUAGAAGCUAUGAGGAAGUAGAUGUAGAAGAACCGCUAACCCAUUUGUCAGCAACAGAAUCUGGUGAAGUUGGAUAAGGACCCUUCUUCAAAAGUACAAGUUCAUCUGUUCUAACAACAACAUCAACUUCUUGUGCUUCCUUCGUGUCGAGUUCAUCGCUUUUUAUUGCUCUCAAUAUCUCCAGCACCUCAUCCAUUGAAGGUCUCAUCUCUCUUUGUUGCUGCAAACACCUAAAUGCCAAUUCAGCCACUGAUGUUGUCAUUCUUCUCACACUAUUGUCUUUUUCAAAUCCAAGUAAUGGAUCAACCAAAUCAUGCAGUUCUUGGCUAUGAAUUUUAUUGACAGCCAUGUUGGCUAAGUUCACGUCAUUGCGAUGCCGUGUAAUAUCCACGGCUUGUAAUGACGAUAUAAGCUCGACUAAGACUACUCCAAAGCUAUAAACAUCGCUCUUGUCGGUGAGUUGGUAACACUGAUAAUACUCAGGAUCAACAUAACCAGGUGUUCCUUGUGGAGCAGUUGUUACAUGUGUGACAUCAGUUGGAAACAACCUUGAGAGGCCAAAAUCAGCAACCUUAACAUGAAAUUUCUCGUCUAGGAGAAUGUUGUUGGAUUUAACGUCUCGGUGCAUGACAUCAGAUGCAUGGAGGAAGGCUAAUGCCUCAGCUGUUUCUACUGCAAUGUUCAACCUUACAGCCCAAGGAAGCAAAGUCGAGCUCGAUCGGUUCCCAUGAAGAUGAUCAGCUACUGUUCCAUUAGGUAUGUAUUCAUAAACAAGCAGAAGCUCUCUGCUAUGUCUUGAGGUACAUCCAUAGAGUGUCACCAGGUUCUUAUGCCUUAAACGUGCUAGAAUCUCAACUUCAUUCAUGAACUGUUCCACGCGUUUAAAGUUGCUUUCGUAAUGGCGCUUCACUGCAACCACACGCCCGUCAUUGAGUUCACCUGAUCAACAAUCACAAGAGAUAUAUAGUUUAUAAAAAAACCAGAAAGGGAAAUCAAUUCAGUUAGAAAAUGUUAUAUUGGAAAGUGGAGAUUAUAUUGUUACCUUUGUAAACAGUGCCAAAACCUCCCUCUCCAAUUUCUUUAGAAGUGUGGAAAUUUUCGGUAGCUUCUUCUAGUUCAGCAUAGGUGAAUACCUUGACACCAAAGUAGAAACUCUUUGGCGCUGUGUUGGAUUUGGAAGAGGGGUAAGAAGGAAUACUCUGAGACAAAUUAGUACUGGAGGUUAGAGUGCCAGUGCCAGUGCCAGUGCUAGUGCUAGUGCUAGUGUUAGUGCUAGUGCCAUUGCUUGCAGGUGGCAUGAAGAGGUCAUUGCUUCUUGAUUUCUCAGCAUUUUUCCUCCUUCGCCGCACUACAAAGCAUGCAAAUCCUAGAAUGCAAGCAAGGACAGCAACUCCUGCAACUAUGCCUGAAGAUAAUGCUAGACAUCAGUAAAAAUUUACUUCUAAAAUCUAAAUUCAAUCUAUCUGUUAGGAAAAUAGAAGUUACCUAUUAUAACGCCAGUGUUAGAGUUUUUACCUGGAACACAAAAAAAAAUGAUGUCAGAACAAAGAAUCAGACAAGGAUAGAAAAGGGGUGGAAAAACAAACUAGUGGGAAGUCUCAUGUUCUGUUGUUCCAUAUAUGAACUUGAAAUUAAUAAGGCCUAAUUUCCAUUCUUAAUCAAAUAGUUGAGCAAUGACAUGUAGCUUUAAGAUAAGAGCAAAUUAAGUUACAAGUGAGUAAUGUACAAUAUAUUACUUCGCCUCCAGAGAAAAAGAAGAAGCAUUUAAGUGAAAUCGCAGCAACGGUAUUAGUCCACACAACAACACAAUACUAAGAAAUCAUCCUUAAAACCAUGGUUCUAAAUUCCGGUAUAAAACUGCAAUGAUAAAGAUGUUAAAGUCCCUCACAACAUCAUCGCAACUGCAAUUAUGGUCGCUUGCUUAGGCUGUAUCAUACAAUGUUUCGCAUAAAAAUUGCAAAGCAAAACCACAAAUACAAGUGCACCGCAAUUUAAAAUCAUACUUAAAAUCAAUAGUUUUUACAUGAAUUAAGAAUCAUCACCAAACAACAGAAUUAACCAAAAGAAAAGCUAGAAUACCUGAAAAUGGACACAACCCAUUACCACAAAUACAAAUAGGUUCAUUGUCAUCAUAAUCAAACCCACAUUGUUGACCACCAGAACCAAUACACUCAAAACAAUCAUUCUCAAAAGGGUUACUAUAACUCACAUUAAACCCUUUCAUCAAAACCUCCCUAAGCAAAGACCGGUUUCCUACAAAUCUAUUAGCCUGCUCUAUAAGAAUUGGCACCCCAACACCAACAUCACAUUGAACAAUUCUAAGAAUUGGGUCCAAAGGAAAAGGACCAACCAAAGAAUAUGAAUUAUUCUUAUCCCCAUAACUCUCACAGUAAAACAAAUUCUCUGGCGUUUUGAUGAAUUCUGAAGUGGGUUUGCAGCCAUAAAACAAAGUAAGGUUACGGUUUCCAAAACCGAAGCUAAAGCUAGUUCCAUCAAAAGUUGAGUUAACAUAAUGAUGAGUACAUGUUUCAUUCCAAAGGUCUAAUCUUGCUAAGGUGAGAGAACGAGUCAGUGAGUUGAUAUGAAGGACUCUGUAACUCACUGAGGAAAUGUUCAACUCAGGAACAUUGUUGUGGCAGUUCAAGUGAAACUGCGGUGGUCCACAGAAGGAAGGACGGCCGCCGCCGGUGAAAGGGUAGGAAAGGUUGGUUAUGGUGCCACAGUUGAAGGUGGUGGUGUGGCAGCUAGAAAGUGAUGCAUAAGAGGGUAAUGAUGUUGCAUGGUAUAGAGAGAAGAUGAAAAUUGAGAUGAUGAUGACGAUGGGAGAAGAGAGGGACAACAUAGUUUGUUGUUCCUUCAUUUGUGUUUGUUGAAAUAUGCAACCAUAGAAGAGUUGUUCGUACUUGUUGUCUAAUAGUUUGGACUAAUGAAGAAAAAAAAUGAAGAUAUAUUUUGUUGACUUUACUUUGAUGUUCAAUAUAUAUAUUAUUUAUAAACUGAGAUAUUUAAGCUGAAUCUAGCCGCCAAAGGAGUGUUUUUUUCUUUUCCUGUUUUUGUCCUGUUUGUUUUGUUUAAAACAAUAGGCUGGGGGAAAUUAUUGUAUUGGGGAUGGUCGUGAGGCACGUGUAUAUGAUAUUGAAAGGUACUAUUAUUUUAUGGUCAAAUUAUAGUACUAAUUUGAUUGAAUGGAGGCUGUUCAAAAUCUAGAACUAUAUGGUAGAAAGGUAUAAGUCAAUACGGAACACAUGGUUUUGAAGUUUUUGGCAGGUUCAGAUGUCUGCUUGAUGGGUUUUGUUUUUUCCUAGAGGAAGGGACAAGUGGGUUAGUUGGACUUGAAAUUAUACUAUUAGUUAAAUUUAACAGACACAUGGAGCGAUAUCAUCAAUUGAUAGGAAGUAGUAGAACAUGUUUAAUGACAGUGGCAAAUGGGUUUAAUUUCAGAGAUUGAAUAUAUGGAGAUAUAUAAAAGGGAAAUGGUAACAAAUAUCCUAGGGCACAUGUUAAUGAAUCAAAUAGAGAAACAUUGUCUUGAAAAUAUUGUGUUCAAUUCUUUCAUAAGUUUGAAAAUUGUAUUCAAAAUGAUGUGUUUAACUAAAAAAUUCUAUUUUUGAUUCUUUAACGUGUACUCUAAGGGAACUUUUCAGGAAGAGAAAUAACAUAGUGGAAUUAUCUGAUACCAUUAUGGUUAAGUUUCCCAUAAUGGUUAUUCUAUCAAAGAAGUGGAGACAACUACAAGAGCAAAAAUGGAACUCCUUUAAGAAGUUUUGCUAAAUAACCAUUGAUCCUUAAAGCUGAAGUCAUAGACACCACCCCCCCACUUACUUCUUAAAGAAAAAGUUACCAACCCCUAAUUCUUCAAGGUUUUUUAAUAUAGUAAAUUCUGGAUUAACAAGGGAAAAUACAUAUCCAAAGUCAGAAAGGAGGAAUUAUUUACAGAUAUUUGAUGAAGAAGAGGAAAAUAGUCUAAAUAAAAACUACAAGUCCAUGUUAGGGCAAGUGUCUUUAUAUUUUGACUUAAAAUGAUAAUGAGAGAAUUUAAGCAGAGCAUGAUGAGUUACCUAGAUGAAAAACACAUUAUUGAACACCCAAAAAAAAAAGAAUUAAUAGAGUUGCUGGCCCCAUAAAAAUGAAGGAAUAAGUCUAAUAAUUAAGGUCAAAGAAGGCAACUACUAGAAGAGGUAGCUACCAUUUUUUUUUUGUUGCGGCAUUUUCUAGAAAUAUUGACUACCUGAAGGAUGAAGAUGUAAUGCUACAAGCACAUUAUUGACUAGCUAAAGAGAAGAGGGGAAUAGAAAAUAUCAGAAAAAACCACCCAUAUCAGAUGUUGUCAACAUAGUUUUAAAAAUGCCUAUCCAUGAAGUCAAUCUGAACCGCAACAUCAAGAUUUUUUAUGUAUCUGUAACCAUGAUCGAUGCUGCAUAAGUCCAUAUUCGAUCAUGGUUUCUUCCUAUAUCAAACAUCACAAUUCACGACACGCUCCACGCCAAUUUAUCUUGAUUGACUGCUGUCACGACUUAAAAUUUUGCUUCCUAACAGAAACUAUGACAAUUUGGCAUUACUAAUCUUAAUUAUAGUAAAAUAUGAGAAUUAGGAUGUUACUGUGUAAGGGAAUAUUUUGGGUGACUAUACUACAGGUACUUACUCACCUGAUCUACAUGAAUGUGAAUAGGAUCCAUCCUUGCAGAAGCAAGUGAAUUCCCUUGAACUUUGUUCAUAACCACAAUGCCCACCAGAGCUUUGGCACUCAUGACACAAACUAUUAUUUGCAUUCCACUCCACUCCAAAGCCACUAUCAACAACAUCCUUCAAACUCUCCACAGUUGAAUUUGUCUCUACCCUUUCAGCUUCUGACUCCAAAAUUGGAACAAUGACACUAGAUUUGCAUGUUCCAACUGUUUCACUCAAUGAGACCAAACUCACAUCAUUCUCAAGAUUACUCUCCAACACAAAAUAGUUAACCAUUUGAGUUCCAUUUACACUACAAUUAAACUGAGGGGAAUAACUAUCUAGUAUAGGAAAUGGAGGGUAAAGACAAUCAUAGUAGAGUGUCAUGUUCCGAAAGUCCGAACCGUAAUCGAAGAAAGUGCAACCUAUAGUGGUGUUCUUAAGGUUUGUGGGACAAACAUUGUUCCAAUAAUCAGUUCUUACAACUUUGAGUCUAUGGUCAGAAUCAGUGACUUCAAGAAUUCUAUAACUUUGUGACAUAAUGGUAAUGGUUGCUACUUCACCAUUGCAUUGUAGUUCAAAAGCAGGGUGGCCACAAUAUUGAGGUCUACUUGACCCCCAGAAAGGAUACCUCAAGUUUCUUAUAUUUGCACAAUCAAAUAAAGAACUGCACUUUUUGUAUUUCACAUUAUCAUCACAAGAAGAAGUUGGAAUUUGAUUUAGGAUGAUGAUUGUAAUUAAGAAUGAGAAAAAGAUGCUUUGAUGAAGUUGCAUUUUGAAAAUGAGAAAUGCUAAGUUGAUGUGAGCUUACGAUGAGUUUUAAUGUGCAUUAGUAAUAUUGAUGCAAAUGAAGAUUUAGGUGACCUAUAUUAAUACUGUAUUUUUCUUUUCUUGGAAAUUAGUAGUAUUGCUUUACCUAACCUAAAAGAAAUUGUAAGAGUUGAUGGUUGGAGUCAAACAAUUUAGUUUAUAAAUUCCCAAAUUGGUGUCUAACUACUCUAAACUACUCAAGCCUAAUCAAUACUUAUGAUUCAUGAAUUAAUCAAAAGUCAAAAGAGGUGUGACAAUGACACGUUUCAACUUUCAACCAACAAUAAUAAUAAUAAAAUAAAAGUAAUAACAACUAUGAAAAAUAUAUGUUACUUUUAAUUUAGCAAACGAGUUUCUUUGACACGGUCAUAUGGAUGGUGCCAAUAAUCAAAAUAAAAGAAUUAAUUAAGUUUAGAACUGGACCAAUUAAAACUGUAUGAUCUGUAAAGAUGUGAAAACGUAAUGGUUUGGUGAAAAUCAUGUAGGAAAUGGUCAAAAGGAGAACUUGUACGUAUCCGAAAAGUCAAACAACUAAGCUAUGUUGGUAGCAAGCAAUCUCUCACACGUUCUUCUUCAAGCGCCAAGGUGGUGCUUGUACACUAGGCUUUUACAAAAUUAAUGUUAAUCGGGAUUUUCUCAAUUUAACCCCAUAUCAAUAUAUAGUAUUGUUAGAUUUUUUUAGAGUAAAAAUUCAACUAGAUACUUUGGUUUCGAUAUUUAUACACAUCUCACACCAACCACUUAUGAUAGACCCUAAUAGAUUGUCUAUCUUACAACAUAAUAAUAUGCUGUUUUCAUAAUUCCUAAAAUUAUCAAUAUGUAAAUUUUAUAAAGGUUUUGAAUCUUAAAUAUUUUACUUUGACGAUUUUUGAUCCUUGAGACCUAUCUCGCUUAAAUUUAAAGAUUUUAAAUUUUUAAGUUUAAGAAUAUUAGUAAUUUCAAUGACUAAAUGCAUUACUAACUCAGAUUUCGUUACCAUAUUACCAGUUGUAGAAACAUAUAUAUAGGAGUUUUAUUUUCACACUUUAGCUAAUUUUUUUGUACUUCCCUUUGUUUAUAAAAAAAAAAAAAAAAAAACAUGAGUUAGAGAAAGUGAUAAUAUAAUAUUAUUGACAUACUUGAGGUUGGUGCCUUUUCUGAAUUGCACAUAUCUUUAUAAGGUACAUCCUUACAGAAACAUCUGAAUCCAGUUCCUCCAUCGUUGCCACACAGUCCACCAGAUCCAACGCAUCGGUCACAUUCCGGAGAGUUUACAUUCCAUCUCAACUCAAAACCUUUUUCUAAUGCAUCGUCUAAUCCACUACCAGAUGCAAGUUGUGAAGUAAAGGUUUCCAAAAUGGGAAUGACGACAAUAACACUUGGACUACAUAUGGUGGAAUACAAAGUAGGAUCAACAACGGUGUAGACAACAAAUUUAGUAUUAUGGCAGUCAACACUAUGAAACAUAUUCGAUGGGUCUCCAUUUGGAACGC